AGUGCAGGGAUUGUGUGUAUCAGGGCUGUGCUGAAUUCAAUGCACUCUUCUGAAAGAUUUCCCUGCAAGAUUACUAUGAGAAAAUGGGCAGUUGUGGUUCAUUUUUCCUGUUGAUAAUCUCAACAAUCAUUUUCCCUACAUUU